rfam:Vibrio azureus NBRC 104587 DNA, contig: VAZ01S140.
AAAUUGAAGAGUUUGAUCAUGGCUCAGAUUGAACGCUGGCGGCAGGCCUAACACAUGCAAGUCGAGCGGAAACGAGUUAUCUGAACCUUCGGGGAACGAUAACGGCGUCGAGCGGCGGACGGGUGAGUAAUGCCUAGGAAAUUGCCCUGAUGUGGGGGAUAACCAUUGGAAACGAUGGCUAAUACCGCAUGAUGCCUACGGGCCAAAGAGGGGGACCUUCGGGCCUCUCGCGUCAGGAUAUGCCUAGGUGGGAUUAGCUAGUUGGUGAGGUAAGGGCUCACCAAGGCGACGAUCCCUAGCUGGUCUGAGAGGAUGAUCAGCCACACUGGAACUGAGACACGGUCCAGACUCCUACGGGAGGCAGCAGUGGGGAAUAUUGCACAAUGGGCGCAAGCCUGAUGCAGCCAUGCCGCGUGUGUGAAGAAGGCCUUCGGGUUGUAAAGCACUUUCAGUCGUGAGGAAGGUAGUGUAGUUAAUAGCUGCAUUAUUUGACGUUAGCGACAGAAGAAGCACCGGCUAACUCCGUGCCAGCAGCCGCGGUAAUACGGAGGGUGCGAGCGUUAAUCGGAAUUACUGGGCGUAAAGCGCAUGCAGGUGGUUUGUUAAGUCAGAUGUGAAAGCCCGGGGCUCAACCUCGGAAUAGCAUUUGAAACUGGCAGACUAGAGUACUGUAGAGGGGGGUAGAAUUUCAGGUGUAGCGGUGAAAUGCGUAGAGAUCUGAAGGAAUACCGGUGGCGAAGGCGGCCCCCUGGACAGAUACUGACACUCAGAUGCGAAAGCGUGGGGAGCAAACAGGAUUAGAUACCCUGGUAGUCCACGCCGUAAACGAUGUCUACUUGGAGGUUGUGGCCUUGAGCCGUGGCUUUCGGAGCUAACGCGUUAAGUAGACCGCCUGGGGAGUACGGUCGCAAGAUUAAAACUCAAAUGAAUUGACGGGGGCCCGCACAAGCGGUGGAGCAUGUGGUUUAAUUCGAUGCAACGCGAAGAACCUUACCUACUCUUGACAUCCAGAGAACUUUUCAGAGAUGAAUUGGUGCCUUCGGGAACUCUGAGACAGGUGCUGCAUGGCUGUCGUCAGCUCGUGUUGUGAAAUGUUGGGUUAAGUCCCGCAACGAGCGCAACCCUUAUCCUUGUUUGCCAGCGAGUAAUGUCGGGAACUCCAGGGAGACUGCCGGUGAUAAACCGGAGGAAGGUGGGGACGACGUCAAGUCAUCAUGGCCCUUACGAGUAGGGCUACACACGUGCUACAAUGGCGCAUACAGAGGGCAGCCAACUUGCGAAAGUGAGCGAAUCCCAAAAAGUGCGUCGUAGUCCGGAUUGGAGUCUGCAACUCGACUCCAUGAAGUCGGAAUCGCUAGUAAUCGUGGAUCAGAAUGCCACGGUGAAUACGUUCCCGGGCCUUGUACACACCGCCCGUCACACCAUGGGAGUGGGCUGCAAAAGAAGUAGGUAGUUUAACCUUCGGGAGGACGCUUACCACUUUGUGGUUCAUGACUGGGGUGAAGUCGUAACAAGGUAGCGCUAGGGGAACCUGGCGCUGGAUCACCUCCUUA